GCCCCCAUAGCUCAGUGGAUUAGAGCAAAAGGUUUCUACCCUUCAGGUCGCGGGUUCGAAUCCUGCUGGGGGCACC
rnacentral:tRNA from 1 species